rnacentral:tmRNA from 1 species
CCUCUUUUCAAGCGGGCAGAAGCCUCCUAUAUAACCAGUGUCGGCUUGACCGGCUAUGGUGAUAAAUGGACUACGUAAUAAACCUAUUGGACCCGGGGGCGGUACCCGGCGCCUCCACCAGAAUACAGCUUAGACUGAAACGGCUGUAUUGUGGCGGGGGCGAAAUAGGAUCGACAAGGGCGUAAAGGUUGAUCUUUCACUCGGCAUUGUACCACCGUUAUCGGGCUAAUUGAGUAGUUGCAAAUGACAACAAAGCUCAGGGUUACGCUCUCGCUGCCUAAUGGCGGUGCGGGAAACCCGACCUAAGUCCUUAGGGUUAGCCCCUUAAGGCGGGGUUCGGAGGCACCUGGCAACAGAAGCCUCCACU